GAUCCUGGCUCAGAUUGAACGCUGGCGGAAUGCUUUACACAUGCAAGUCGAACGGUAGAGGGGGCAACCCCUCGAGAGUGGCGAACGGGUGAGUAAUAUAUCGGAACGUGCCCAGUCGUGGGGGAUAACGUAGCGAAAGUUACGCUAAUACCGCAUACGAUCUAAGGAUGAAAGCGGGGGAUCGCAAGACCUCGCGCGAUUGGAGCGGCCGAUAUCAGAUUAGGUAGUUGGUGGGGUAAAGGCUCACCAAGCCAACGAUCUGUAGCUGGUCUGAGAGGACGACCAGCCACACUGGAACUGAGACACGGUCCAGACUCCUACGGGAGGCAGCAGUGGGGAAUUUUGGACAAUGGACGCAAGUCUGAUCCAGCCAUUCCGCGUGCAGGAUGAAGGCCCUCGGGUUGUAAACUGCUUUUGUACGGAACGAAAAGGUCUCUCCUAAUACGAGGGGCUCAUGACGGUACCGUAAGAAUAAGCACCGGCUAACUACGUG
rnacentral:rRNA from 1 species